GACGAACGCUGGCGGCGUGCUUAACACAUGCAAGUCGAACGAAGAGCGAUGGAAGCUUGCUUCUAUCAAUCUUAGUGGCGAACGGGUGAGUAACGCGUAAUCAACCUGCCCUUCAGAGGGGGACAACAGUUGGAAACGACUGCUAAUACCGCAUACGAUCUGACCUCGGCAUCGAGGAUAGAUGAAAGGUGGCCUCUACAUGUAAGCUAUCACUGAAGGAGGGGAUUGCGUCUGAUCAGCUAGUUGGAGGGGUAACGGCCCACCAAGGCGAUGAUCAGUAGCCGGUCUGAGAGGAUGAACGGCCACAUUGGGACUGAGACACGGCCCAGACUCCUACGGGAGGCAGCAGUGGGGAAUCUUCCGCAAUGGACGAAAGUCUGACGGAGCAACGCCGCGUGAGUGAUGACGGCCUUCGGGUUGUAAAGCUCUGUUAAUCGGGACGAAAGGCCUUUUUGCGAAUAGUGAGAAGGAUUGACGGUACCGGAAUAGAAAGCC
rnacentral:rRNA from 1 species